rnacentral:tRNA from 1 species
GCGAUAGUAGUUCAAUUGGUAGAGCUUCUGAUUUCCAAUCAGAAAGUUGCGAGUUCAAAUCUCGUCUAUCGCUCCA